UUGACGGGGGCCCGCACAAGCGGUGGAGCAUGUGGUUUAAUUCGAUGAUACGCGAGGAACCUUACCUGGGCUCAAAUGUAUGUUGACGUAUUCUGAAAGGGAUACUUCUUCGGACAAUAUACAAGGUGCUGCAUGGUUGUCGUCAGCUCGUGCCGUGAGGUGUCGGGUUAAGUCCCAUAACGAGCGCAACCCCUACCUUUAGUUGCCAUCAGGUUAAGCUGGGGACUCUAAAGGAACUGCCUACGCAAGUAGUGAGGAAGGCGGGGAUGACGUCAAAUCAGCACGGCCCUUACGUCCAGGGCUACACACGUGCUACAAUGGCCGAUACAGAGGGCAGCUACCUGGUGACAGGAUGCAAAUCUCCAAAGUCGGUCUCAGUUCGGAUCGGAGUCUGCAACCCGACUCCGUGAAGUUGGAUUCGCUAGUAAUCGCGCAUCAGCCAUGGCGCGGUGAAUACGUUCCCGGGCCUU
rnacentral:rRNA from 1 species